rnacentral:rRNA from 1 species
AGAGGGUCCGAGCGUUAAUCGGAAUUACUGGGCGUAAAGCGCACGUAGGCGGCUUGGCAUGUCGGGUGUGAAAUCCCCCGGCCUCCAACCUGGGACUGCAUAGCGAAACUGCCUUGCUAGAGUAUGGGAGAGGGAAGCGGAAUUUCCGGUGUAGCAGUGAAAUGCGUAGAUAUCGGAAGGAACAUCAGUGGCGAAGGCGGCUUCCUGGACCAAUACUGACGCUCAGGUGCGAAAGCGUGGGGAGCAAACAGGAUUAGAUACCCUGGUAGUCCACGCCGUAAACGAUGAUCACUCGCCUGUUGGCGAUACACAGUCAGCGGCUAAGCAAAAGCAUUAAAGUGAUCCACCUGGGGAGUACGGCCGCAAGGCUG